rnacentral:rRNA from 1 species
UACGUAGGGUGCGAGCGUUGUCCGGAAUUAUUGGGCGUAAAGAGCUCGUAGGCGGUUUGUUGCGUCUAUCGUGAAAACCUGCGGCUUAACUGUGGGCUUGCGGUGGAUACGGGCAGACUAGAGUGCGGUAGGGGAGACUGGAAUUCCUGGUGUAGCGGUGAAAUGCGCAGAUAUCAGGAGGAACACCGGUGGCGAAGGCGGGUCUCUGGGGCAACA